rnacentral:rRNA from 1 species
UACGGGGGGAGCAAGCGUUGUUCAGAUUUACUGGGCGUAAAGGGCGCGUAGGCGGCCACCGCAAGUCGACUGUGAAAUCUCCGGGCUUAACUCGGAAAGGUCAGCCGAUACUGCGGGGCUAGAGUGCAGAAGGGGCAACUGGAAUUCUCGGUGUAGCGGUGAAAUGCGUAGAUAUCGAGAGGAACACCUGCGGCGAAGGCGGGUUGCUGGGCUGACACUGACGCUGAGGCGCGAAAGCUAGGGGAGCGAACGGG